CUUAACACAUGCAAGUCGAGGGGUAUAGUAGCAAUACUAGAGACCGGCGCACGGGUGCGUAACGCGUAUGCAACCUACCUUUUACAGAAGGGAUAGCCCAGAGAAAUUUGGAUUAAUACCUCAUAGUGUUAUUAGAUGGCAUCAUUUGAUAACUAAAGUUCCAACGGUAAAAGAUGGGCAUGCGUCCUAUUAGCUAGAUGGUAAGGUAACGGCUUACCAUGGCUACGAUAGGUAGGGGUCCUGAGAGGGAGAUCCCCCACACUGGUACUGAGACACGGACCAGACUCCUACGGGAGGCAGCAGUGAGGAAUAUUGGACAAUGGGCGCAAGCCUGAUCCAGCCAUGCCGCGUGCAGGAAGAAGCAUCUAUGGUGUGUAAACUGCUUUUGUACGGGAAGAAACACUCCUACGUGUAGGAGCUUGACGGUACCGUAAGAAUAAGGAUCGGCUAACUCCGUG
rnacentral:rRNA from 1 species